rnacentral:rRNA from 1 species
CACUAUCGUUAACUGAAUACAUAGGUUAACGAGGCGAACCGGGGGAACUGAAACAUCUAAGUACCCCGAGGAAAAGAAAUCAACCGAGAUUCCCCCAGUAGCGGCGAGCGAACGGGGAGCAGCCCAGAGUCUGAAUCAGCUUGUGUGUUAGUGGAACGGUCUGGAAAGUCCGACGGUACAGGGUGAUAGUCCCGUACACCAAAAUGCACAGGCUGUGAACUCGAAGAGUAGGGCGGGACACGUGGUAUCCUGUCUGAAUAUGGGGGGACCAUCCUCCAAGGCUAAAUACUCCUGACUGACCGAUAGUGAACCAGUACCGUGAGGGAAAGGCGAAAAGAACCCCGGCGAGGGGAGUGAAAAAGAACCUGAAACCGUGUACGUACAAGCAGUGGGAGCACCUUCGGGUGUGACUGCGUACCUUUUGUAUAAUGGGUCAGCGACUUAUAUUCUGUAGCAAGGUUAACCGUAUAGGGGAGCCGCAGGGAAACCGAGUCUUAACUGGGCGUUAAGUUGCAGGGUAUAGACCCGAAACCCGGUGAUCUAGCCAUGGGCAGGUUGAAGGUUGGGUAACACUAACUGGAGGACCGAACCGACUAAUGUUGAAAAAUUAGCGGAUGACUUGUGGCUGGGGGUGAAAGGCCAAUCAAACCGGGAGAUAGCUGGUUCUCCCCGAAAGCUAUUUAGGUAGCGCCUCGUGAAUUCAUCUUCGGGGGUAGAGCACUGUUUCGGCUAGGGGGUCAUCCCGACUUACCAACCCGAUGCAAACUACGAAUACCGAAGAAUGUUAUCACGGGAGACACACGGCGGGUGCUAACGUCCGUCGUGAAGAGGGAAACAACCCAGACCGCCAGCUAAGGUCCCAAAGUCAUGGUUAAGUGGGAAACGAUGUGGGAAGGCACAGACAGCCAGGAUGUUGGCUUAGAAGCAGCCAUCAUUUAAAGAAAGCGUAAUAGCUCACUGGUCGAGUCGGCCUGCGCGGAAGAUGUAACGGGGCUAAACCAUGCACCGAAGCUGCGGCAGCGACACUAUGUGUUGUUGGGUAGGGGAGCGUUCUGUAAGCCUGCGAAGGUGACCUGUGAGGGUUGCUGGAGGUAUCAGAAGUGCGAAUGCUGACAUAAGUAACGAUAAAGCGGGUGAAAAGCCCGCUCGCCGGAAGACCAAGGGUUCCUGUCCAACGUUAAUCGGGGCAGGGUGAGUCGACCCCUAAGGCGAGGCCGAAAGGCGUAGUCGAUGGGAAACAGGUUAAUAUUCCUGUACUUGGUGUUACUGCGAAGGGGGGACGGAGAAGGCUAUGUUAGCCGGGCGACGGUUGUCCCGGUUUAAGCAUGUAGGCUGAUUAUCCAGGCAAAUCCGGAUAAUCAAGGCUGAGGUGUGAUGACGAGGCACUACGGUGCUGAAGUAACAAAUGCCCUGCUUCCAGGAAAAGCCUCUAAGCAUCAGGUAACAUCAAAUCGUACCCCAAACCGACACAGGUGGUCAGGUAGAGAAUACCAAGGCGCUUGAGAGAACUCGGGUGAAGGAACUAGGCAAAAUGGUGCCGUAACUUCGGGAGAAGGCACGCUGGUGUGUAGGUGAAGCCCCUGCGGGUGGAGCUGAGACCAGUCGAAGAUACCAGCUGGCUGCAACUGUUUAUUAAAAACACAGCACUGUGCAAACACGAAAGUGGACGUAUACGGUGUGACGCCUGCCCGGUGCCGGAAGGUUAAUUGAUGGGGUUAUCCGUAAGGAGAAGCUCUUGAUCGAAGCCCCGGUAAACGGCGGCCGUAACUAUAACGGUCCUAAGGUAGCGAAAUUCCUUGUCGGGUAAGUUCCGACCUGCACGAAUGGCGUAAUGAUGGCCAGGCUGUCUCCACCCGAGACUCAGUGAAAUUGAACUCGCUGUGAAGAUGCAGUGUACCCGCGGCAAGACGGAAAGACCCCGUGAACCUUUACUAUAGCUUGACACUGAACAUUGAGCCUUGAUGUGUAGGAUAGGUGGGAGGCUUUGAAGCGUGGACGCCAGUCUGCGUGGAGCCAACCUUGAAAUACCACCCUUUAAUGUUUGAUGUUCUAACGUUGGCCCCUUACCGGGGUUGCGGACAGUGUCUGGUGGGUAGUUUGACUGGGGCGGUCUCCUCCCAAAGCGUAACGGAGGAGCACGAAGGUUAGCUAAUCCUGGUCGGACAUCAGGAGGUUAGUGCAAUGGCAUAAGCUAGCUUGACUGCGAGCGUGACGGCGCGAGCAGGUGCGAAAGCAGGUCAUAGUGAUCCGGUGGUUCUGAAUGGAAGGGCCAUCGCUCAACGGAUAAAAGGUACUCCGGGGAUAACAGGCUGAUACCGCCCAAGAGUUCAUAUCGACGGCGGUGUUUGGCACCUCGAUGUCGGCUCAUCACAUCCUGGGGCUGAAGUAGGUCCCAAGGGUAUGGCUGUUCGCCAUUUAAAGUGGUACGCGAGCUGGGUUUAGAACGUCGUGAGACAGUUCGGUCCCUAUCUGCCGUGGGCGCUGGAGAAUUGAGGGGGGCUGCUCCUAGUACGAGAGGACCGGAGUGGACGCAUCACUGGUGUUCGGGUUGUCAUGCCAAUGGCACUGCCCGGUAGCUAAAUGCGGAAGAGAUAAGUGCUGAAAGCAUCUAAGCACGAAACUUGCCCCGAGAUGAGUUCUCCCUGAGACUUUAAGUCUCCUGAAGGAACGUUAAAGACGAUGACGUUGAUAGGCCGGGUGUGUAAGCGCAGCGAUGCGUUGAGCUAACCGGUACUAAUGAACCGUGAGGCUUAACCUU